UAGGGAAUCUUCCGCAAUGGACGAAAGUCUGACGGAGCAACGCCGCGUGAGUGAUGAAGGUUUUCGGAUCGUAAAACUCUGUUGUUAGGGAAGAACAAGUUGGGUAGUAACUGACCCAACCUUGACGGUACCUAACCAGAAAGCCACGGCUAACUACGUGCCAGCAGCCGCGGUAAUACGUAGGUGGCAAGCGUUGUCCGGAAUUAUUGGGCGUAAAGCGCUCGCAGGCGGUCUUUUAAGUCUGAUGUGAAAGCCCACGGCUUAACCGUGGAGGGUCAUUGGAAACUGGAGGACUUGAGUACAGAAGAGGAGAGUGGAAUUCCACGUGUAGCAGUGAAAUGCGUAGAGAUGUGGAGGAACACCAGUGGCGAAGGCGACUCUCUGGUCUGUAACUGACGCUGAGGAGCGAAAGCGUGGGUAGCGAACAGG
rnacentral:rRNA from 1 species